UACGGAGGGUGCGAGCGUUGUCCGGAAUCAUUGGGCGUAAAGGGCGCGUAGGCGGCUUGUCGCGUCGACUGUGAAAACCCGCGGCUCAACUGCGGGCCUGCAGCCGAUACGGGCAGGCUAGAGUUCGGUAGGGGAGACUGGAAUUCCUGGUGUAGCGGUGAAAUGCGCAGAUAUCAGGAGGAACACCGGUGGCGAAGGCGGGUCUCUGGGCCGAUACCGACGCUGAGGAGCGAAAGCGUGGGGAGCGAACAGG
rnacentral:rRNA from 1 species